rnacentral:rRNA from 1 species
UGGGGAAUAUUGCACAAUGGAGGGAACUCUGAUGCAGCGACGCCGCGUGAGUGAUGAAGGAAUUCGUUUCGUAAAACUCUGUUCUAUGGGAAGAAAAGGACUGUACCAUAGGAGAAAGCUCCGGCUAAAUACGUGCCAGCAGCCGCGGUAAUACGUAUGGAGCGAGCGUUGUCCGGAAUUAUUGGGCGUAAAGGGUGCGCAGGCGGCUUUACAAGUUGGAUGUGAAAUAUUGUGGCUCAACCACAAACGUGCAUCCAAAACUGCAAAGCUUGAGUUAAGGAGAGGUAAGUGGAAUUCCUGGUGUAGCGGUGGGAUGCGUAGAUAUCAGGAGGAAUACCGGUGGCGAAGGCGACUUACUGGACUUAAACUGACGCUCAGGCACGAGAGCGUGGGGAGCAAACAGG